rnacentral:lncRNA from 1 species
ACUCUGUAUUGAACCAAGGUGCUCUACACAGUAGCCCCAGCUGAGCUCCCAGCAGAUGCCAGCAUCAGUCAUCAUCCAUCUCUUCAUGUGGAUGUCUGAGCUCAUAUCAGGUCUGAAGGAGGCAGAUUCUGAGGAUUUGAGUCAUGAUGGCUGCCAAAGCUUCUACUCCUGAUUUAAAGGGCAACAAUCCUAGGAGACCAGCAGCACUUACAUCCCUGGUAGGAUAUGACACCUGCAUAUGGCCCAGAAGUGACAAAAGAUAAUUAUCAGGAUGGCAGUCCUUAUAACCAGAUGCUUAUCAACAUUCUUCACUACAUUCUGAAGAUGAAUUUCUACAAGGGAAAUUGUUGAUGUAAGUGGUGUUCACUCUUUGAUAUGUAUUGACAUAGUGGCACACAUAG